CCUACGGGAGGCUGCAGUGAGGAAUAUUGGUCAAUGGACGAGAGUCUGAACCAGCCAAGUAGCGUGAAGGAUGACUGCCCUAUGGGUUGUAAACUUCUUUUAUAAAGGAAUAAAACGAGGCACGUGUGCCUUUUUGCAUGUACUUUAUGAAUAAGGAUCGGCUAACUCCGUGCCAGCAGCCGCGGUAAUACGGAGGAUCCGAGCGUUAUCCGGAUUUAUUGGGUUUAAAGGGAGCGUAGAUGGGUUGUUAAGUCAGUUGUGAAAGUUUGCGGCUCAACCGUAAAAUUGCAAUUGAUACUGGCAGUCUUGAGUACAGUUGAGGUAGGCGGAAUUCGUGGUGUAGCGGUGAAAUGCUUAGAUAUCACGAAGAACCCCGAUUGCGAAGGCAGCUUACCAAACUGUGACUGACAUUGAUGCUCGAAAGUGUGGGUAUCAAACAGGAUUAGAUACCCUUGUAGUC
rnacentral:rRNA from 1 species